GCUGGGCAUGGUGGUGUGCAUCUGUAAUCCCAGCUACUCGGAAGGCUGAGCCCAGAGGAUCGCUUGAGUCCAGGAGUUCUGAGCUGCAGUGUGCUAUGCCGAUCGAGUGUCCUCACUAACUUCGGCAUCAAUAUGGUGACCUCCCCGGAGCCGGGGAACACCAGGUCGCCUAAGAAGGGGUGAAGUGGCCCAGGUUGGAAACGGAGCAGGUCAAAACGCCCAUGCUGAUCAGUAGAAAAAUGCAUAUAUUUGAAAAUGUAAGAACGAAAAAGCAUUAA
ensembl:misc_RNA Metazoa_SRP Metazoan signal recognition particle RNA